GUCUGAAACCUUGAACAGACCCUGUUCACCUAAUAGUUGAUAGGAAAGGUGAACAGAUCUGCAAGACAGUGAAGUGGCUUACUAUGAACUGGCAGGACUGCAAAUUAAGCCACCAUUAUAUUGGAGUGGAAUUGGAUCUGCUUAGCUGGUUCACUCUUGUGUUUCACAGAAUCAUAGAAUAAUAGAGUUGGAAGAGAACUCCUGAGAACAUGGUAAGCUUCCCAUGUUCUCAUAGAACAAGCUGGGGAAAGCAUGAGGGGAAACUGGGUGGCAAUGCUUCCCCCCAUGAGGCGUGGGUGAUGCAGGGUGUGAGACAAUGGGUUACUAUGCUACCUGUCAGAUUUCCCCGCUGCCCCACUUUCCCCCAGCUUGGGGACUUCUGUCUGAUGAGGUCCUAAGUGUUUAUACCCAACUCACUGUAGUCUGCCAAAUCCGAUGUCUUGUAAGAACAAAAGGAAGACUUGCCCUGAAUGGAAAAUUCUCCUGUCAUCCUUUUUCUGAGAUGAUGCUAAUACCUUCCUCUUAUCCUUAGUGUUUACCAAUAUAGGCUCAAGAGCUUCCCCAAAUAGCUGAGUGCCCACAGAGAUGGAGAAGAUGAAGCUUUGUUUCAAGCAGUGGCAUCCACCUACCAACACUCCCUAUCCAUCUGAGAACUUUGAACUACAAUGCACUUCAGACAAACUAUGAGAUUGAUCCACAACCAGGAAUCAGCUGUGGCUGGAUGCUAUGUUUGUGAGCUGCUGCUUUAUGGAAUAUGUCAUGAGAGGACCCAAAGCGACCUACAACAUAUUAAAAUCAUGUAAACAACAAUCCAAAUACAUCGAUAAAAAGUAUAAAAUAUUAUAAGACAAACCGUUUAAAACAACAAUAAUAAACAUUCACAUUCUUGUGGCAUC